rnacentral:piRNA from 1 species
UUGGAAUAGUCUUGGAAUUUUGCUUACUCA